GAUGAAGAACGUAGCGAAAUGCGAUAAGUAAUGUGAAUUGCAGAAUUCAGUGAAUCAUCGAAUCUUUGAACGCACAUUGCGCCCGCCAGAAUACUGGCGGGCAUGCCUGUUCGAGCGUCAUUUCAACCAUCAAGCCCCAGGCUUGUGUUGGGGACCUGCGGCUGCCGCAGGCCCUGAAAACCAGUGGCGGGCUCGCUGUCACACCGGGCGUAGUAGAUUUUAUCUCGCUCAGGGCGUGCUGCGGGUUCCGGCCGUUAAAAAGCCUUUUUUACCCAAGGUUGACCUCGGAUCAGGUAGGAAGACCCGCUGAACUUAAGCAUAUCAAUAAGCGGAGGA
rnacentral:misc_RNA from 1 species